rnacentral:rRNA from 1 species
UACACACCGCCCGUCACACCAUGGGAGUCGGUUGCUCCAGAAGUGGCUGCGCCAACCCGAAAGGGAGGCAGGCCCCAAGGAGUGGCUGGUAACUGGGUG